GAUAACUUCGGGAAACCGGAGCUAAUACCGGAUAAUAUUUUGAACCGCAUGGUCCAAAAAGUGAAAGACGGUCUUGCUGUCACUUAUAGAUGGAUCCGCGCUGCAUUAGCUAGUUGGUAAGGUAACGGCUUACCAAGGCAACGAUGCAUAGCCGACCUGAGAGGGUGAUCGGCCACACUGGAACUGAGACACGGUCCAGACUCCUACGGGAGGCAGCAGUAGGGAAUCUUCCGCAAUGGGCGAAAGCCUGACGGAGCAACGCCGCGUGAGUGAUGAAGGUCUUCGGAUCGUAAAACUCUGUUAUUAGGGAAGAACAUAUGUGUAAGUAACUGUGCACAUCUUGACGGUACCUAAUCAGAAAGCCACGGCUAACUACGUGCCAGCAGCCGCGGUAAUACGUAGGUGGCAAGCGUUAUCCGGAAUUAUUGGGCGUAAAGCGCGCGUAGGCGGUUUUUUAAGUCUGAUGUGAAAGCCCACGGCUCAACCGUGGAGGGUCAUUGGAAACUGGAAAACUUGAGUGCAGAAGAGGAAAGUGGAAUUCCAUGUGUAGCGGUGAAAUGCGCAGAGAUAUGGAGGAACACCAGUGGCGAAGGCGACUUUCUGGUCUGUAACUGACGCUGAUGUGCGAAAGCGUGGGGAUCAAACAGGAUUAGAUACCCUGGUAGUCCACGCCGUAAACGAUGAGUGCUAAGUGUUAGGGGGUUUCCGCCCCUUAGUGCUGCAGCUAACGCAUUAAGCACUCCGCCUGGGGAGUACGACCGCAAGGUUGAAACUCAAAGGAAUUGACGGG
rnacentral:rRNA from 1 species